rnacentral:rRNA from 1 species
UGAGGGAUCUUGCACAAUGGGGGCAACCCUGAUGCAGCGACGCCGCGUGGGCGAUGAAGGCUUUCGGGUCGUAAAGCCCUUUUCCCACGGAGGAGAACGGACAGUAAGUGGGGAACAAGUCUCGGCUAACUACGUGCCAGCAGCCGCGGUAAAACGUAGGAGGCGAGCGUUAUCCGGAGUUACUGGGCGUAAAGCGCGUGCAGGCGGUCGGACAAGUGGCGGAUGAAAGCGCCCGGCUCAACCGGGCAAGGGUCGGUCAGACUGUUCGACUAGAGGACCGGUGAGGGACGUGGAAUUCCGGGUAUAGCGGUGAAAUGUGCAGAGAUCCGGAGGAACACCAGCGGCGCAAGCGGCGUCCUGGACGGGUACUGACGCUGAGACGCGACAGCGUGGGGAGCGAACGGGAUUAGAGACCCCGGUAGUCCACGCCGUAAACGAUGCCAACUCGAUGUCGGGGAGGCGAAAGCCUUUUCGGUGUCCUAGUUGACGCGCUAAGUUGGCCGCCUGGGGAGUACGGUCGCAAGGCUAA